rnacentral:ribozyme from 13 species
UGGAAAAGAGGAAGAAAAAGAAGAAAGAGAAGAAAGAGGAGAUAUCUCUCUUCGUCCUCUUUGGUCCUCAAGCCCUUUUCUUUUUGAUUAAGAUUGAUUUUAUUUCUCU